UAUGUAAUUAGCAAUAGGAUUGCUAUUUAUAAAAUGUGCUGAUCUAUUUAUGAAAUGAGUCAACAUAUUUGGUGAAUAGAAAAUAAAACCUUUCAAAUUUGAAAAUUAUUUUCGAAAAGCCAAACUCUGACCCAUCAGCCCAAAUACUUAAUUAAAAGAAUUAAGUGUUGUCAAGUUGGUCUAGAAUUGUGAAUUAAGACCUAAGAUAAUUGCAUAAACUUGUGGGUCAAUGGGUUUGAUGGAUUAGGUCCAUAAUUGGGUUAGACCUAAGGUUAGCUUAAAGAAAUAGACUAAAUUAGAGUAAUUGAUCAAAUCUAAUCAAAAAUUGAAUUAGAUUAGGUCAAGGACACUCUAGACUCAACUCCAAUAGUUGUAGUUGAAUGGGUUCAUGUCUUUAACUAGACCAAGAUGGACUUAAUUCAUGGCUACGCGGUGGAAUCCUAUUUACUAAGUUGAUCAAAUUAAAACUAAUAAACCGAUUGGUGUCUAAGGUAAAUUCGACAGUUUGACCAGGGUUCUUAAGUGGGAGCUACUCGUAUUGAUUCGAUCUCUGAUGAGUUAAUGGCUUAUCCCCACCACUGAUCUCACUUACCUGGCCAACCUGGUGAGUUAGAUUUUGAUUAGAUCACUUGGUGAUUAGGGCUCA
rnacentral:lncRNA from 1 species